rnacentral:rRNA from 1 species
ACGGAGGAUGCGAGCGUUAUCCGGAUUUAUUGGGUUUAAAGGGUGCGUAGGCGGGACAAUAAGUCAGUGGUGAAAACCUGCAGCUUAACUGUAGACUUGCCGUUGAUACUGUUGGUCUUGAGUAUGGUCAAGGCAGGCGGAAUGUGUAAUGUAGGGGUGAAAUGCUUGGAUAUUGGGCGGAACACCGAUGGCGAAGGCGGCUUGCUGGGACGUACCUGACGCUGAGGCACGAAAGCGUGGGGAUCGAACAG